rnacentral:rRNA from 1 species
UACGUAGGGUGCAAGCGUUGUCCGGAAUUAUUGGGCGUAAAGAGCUCGUAGGCGGUUUGUCGCGUCGAAUGUGAAAACCCGGGGCUCAACUCCGGGCCUGCAUUCGAUACGGGCAGACUAGAGUUCGGUAGGGGAGUCUGGAAUUCCUGGUGUAGCGGUGAAAUGCGCAGAUAUCAGGAGGAACACCGGUGGCGAAGGCGGGACUCUGGGCCGAAUACUGACGCUGGAGGAGCGAAAGCGUGGGGAGCAAACAG